ACUUUGGGUUCACUCGCAUGGU
rnacentral:siRNA from 1 species